rnacentral:ncRNA from 1 species
CACCUGGUUGAUCCUGCCAGUAGUCAUAUGCUUGUCUCAAAGAUUAAGCCAUGCAUGUCUAAGUAUAAGCUUUAAACGGCGAAACUGCGAAUGGCUCAUUAAAACAGUUAUAGUUUAUUUGGUGAUCGAUUACUAUUUGGAUAACCGUAGUAAUUCUAGAGCUAAUACAUGCGUCAAGGCCCGACUUCGGAAGGGCUGCGUUUAUUAGAUACAGAACCAACCUAGGCUCCGCCUAGUCCUUGUUGGUGAUUCAUAAUAACCCGGCGAAUCGCACGGCUUGUCCGGCGAUGGACCAUUCAAGUUUCUGACCUAUCAGCUAUGGACGGUAGGGUAUUGGCCUACCGUGGCGUUGACGGGUAACGGGGAAUUAGGGUUCGAUUCCGGAGAGGGAGCCUGAGAAACGGCUACCACAUCUAAGGAAGGCAGCAGGCGCGCAAAUUACCCAAUCCUGAUACAGGGAGGUAGUGACAAGAAAUAACAAUACAGGGCAAUUCUGUCUUGUAAUUGGAAUGAGUAGAUUUUAAAUCUCUUUACGAGUAUCAAUUGGAGGGCAAGUCUGGUGCCAGCAGCCGCGGUAAUUCCAGCUCCAAUAGCGUAUAUUAAAGUUGUUGCGGUUAAAAAGCUCGUAGUUGGAUUUCUGCCUUGGGCGACCGAUCCACCUUUCCUACGGGAUUGGUUGGUAUCAGGUUUGACCUUGGCUUUUUCUUGGGAUUCGUGCUCACGUACUUAACUGUGCGUUGACCGUGUCCAAGACUUU